AUCAACACAGAACCAAGAAACACAAAGAACAAUACAAUUUAAUAUCAAUGCCAAUUAUCACUCAACGCCGUUAUAUGGGGAUCGUGGUUUUAUGCUUUGUUUUCUUACUCAUUUCAGGACCGACAACUGCUCUCGUGGGAUCUUGUUUGGGGACAUGUCAAAAUUUUCCAAAUUGUGAGCGGGCUUGCCAUGCUAAAGGAUUUCCGAAGGGAGGUGCUUGUAUACCUCUUUCUCGUUUUGCUUCAGCCUGUUGUUGUAAAUAAUAGGGGUUGAGAGGUCUUAAGUUUCUAUGAUAAGGAAAAUAAUUAAUCCAUAAGGAAAAAAGUCUCAUGUUUUAUUAGUGGAAGUAUAACAAUAAAAUUAAAUAAUAACUACUCGUAAUUUCACGCUUGGA